UGUCCCGGACUGAUCAUUUGCUAGCUCUUCUACAAAAUAGUAUCGUUUUUCCAAGUAUUUGUUACUAAAAAUAGUAUCUGCGAAACGUCCGUUUUGUUCCAAACAGUUUUCGUUGGCUAUUAGUCGUAUUAACUUUUCUUUUAGUUGUUACAGUAGUUUUGAAACAUUUUAAGUAUGGCAAUUCCUGGCUAUGAUAAUAAAGGAGCUCUGCAGCAGGUAAAUCAGUUUUGGUCGAUGUUAGAUGACAUGUCUCAGAAUGAUCCGGAGGCCUACAGGACCUUCAUUGAACGCCAGUUACGGGAGGGAGCGGAAAUUCACUCCCCGCCGGAGCCGCACGCCUGCAUCCGCACUUCUGUACUGGGAUCAAAGGAGGAUGUAUUGUACAUUAACAUUUGCGGUUGGAAACGCGUACCAGCGGCCACUUCUUACAGUGAUCCUGUUCCUGUGUGUGGAGGACGAAUGGAGAAAGUAACAGAGGAGAAAGAGCGAUACAGUGUUGUUGAUGUGGCCUUCAACCCUGCGGUUCUGGAAACGACAGAGAAAGAGAAACAUGAGAAAGAGCAGCUCCAUCUGCUUGCUGUGAACUUCAUCCAACAACAGCACAUUCUGAGUCUGUCCCAACACUACAAACUCACCAAAGACAAAAUCAAAGGCAGCAUUCAGGAUAUGAAGCAGCGUCUCAUGUCACCACAUACAUCAGAAUCUUCUGCCAAUAAGCCACAAUCUGAACCAGCCCCAUCACUCCUGCAGCAGAUCUCCUCACUGCGAAUGGCUGAGAGUAAUGAGGAUUCAUCCAUCCAACUGAGCAUGGAGCGGGAGAAAAAAGCAGCCCGAUCAGGUCUCAUUGAGGUGAUCUCCAGCACAGAAUCAGACCAAUCUCAGCCACAACAACCCCGGCAUCAUCUCACAGUCUGUCCUGACAGCAGCGGCUCAACUAGGAGCCUGAAGCUGAGUGUUGAGCUUCCUGGAGUGAGAUCUGUGUCACAGUGCCAGCUCAGCAUCUCUCAGGAUGAUAUUCUCCUGGAAGUUGAGGACAUUUAUUAUCUCCAUCUUCCAUUUCCUGAGUUGGUCAAAGAGGAGACAUGCAUUGCAACGUUUAGUAAGAAGGAACAGACUCUAGAUGUUUUAGUGACUGUGUUAUGAGAACACUUCACUCUUAUUAAUCAAGAAACCGAGGAUAUAAACACCUUCCGAAUCAUUUUCUGAGAAAUAUAUUGUUGUAUUAUUAUUUGUUGUCCCAAAGAUAAUUAGACUUGCAUUCAAAUUCAAGAGGCAUAUUCUAUUCACAGACAGAACCAUCUAUUCUUAAAUUUAUAAGAACCUUAAAAGACUAUAAUUAUUUUGUUAUUAGUUAACUAAUUAAUGUUUGAUG